AUUGAACGCUGGCGGCAGGCUUAACACAUGCACGUCGAGCGAGCGGCGGACGGGUGAGUAAUGUCUGGGAAACUGCCUGAUGGAGGGGGAUAACUACUGGAAACGGUAGCUAAUACCGCAUACCAUCAACUGUGCCCAGAUGGGAUUAGAUAGUAGGUGGGGUAAUGGCUCACCUAGGCGAAGAUCCCAAGCUGGUCUGAGAGGAGGACCAGCAACACGGGAACUGAGAGACGGGCCAGACUCCUACGGGAGGCAGCAGUGGGGAAUAUUGCACAAUGGGCGCAAGCCUGAUGCAGCCAUGCCGCGUGUGUGAAGAAGGCCUUCGGGUUGUAAAGCACUGUCAGCGAGGAGGCGUUACUCGCAGAAGAAGCACCGGCUAACUCCGUGCCAGCAGCCGCGGUAAUUC
rnacentral:rRNA from 1 species